rnacentral:rRNA from 1 species
AUAACGGCGUCGAGCGGCGGACGGGUGAGUAAUGCCUAGGAAAUUGCCUUGAUGUGGGGGAUAACCAUUGGAAACGAUGGCUAAUACCGCAUAAUGCCUACGGGCCAAAGAGGGGGACCUUCGGGCCUCUCGCGUCAAGAUAUGCCUAGGUGGGAUUAGCUAGUUGGUGAGGUAAUGGCUCACCAAGGCGACGAUCCCUAGCUGGUCUGAGAGGAUGAUCAGCCACACUGGAACUGAGACACGGUCCAGACUCCUACGGGAGGCAGCAGUGGGGAAUAUUGCACAAUGGGCGCAAGCCUGAUGCAGCCAUGCCGCGUGUAUGAAGAAGGCCUUCGGGUUGUAAAGUACUUUCAGCAGUGAGGAAGGGGGUGUCGUUAAUAGCGGCAUCUCUUGACGUUAGCUGCAGAAGAAGCACCGGCUAACUCCGUGCCAGCAGCCGCGGUAAUACGGAGGGUGCGAGCGUUAAUCGGAAUUACUGGGCGUAAAGCGCAUGCAGGUGGUUUGUUAAGUCAGAUGUGAAAGCCCGGGGCUCAACCUCGGANCUGCNUUUGAAACUGGNAAACUAGAGUACUGUGNGAGGGGGGUAGAAUUUCGGGGAGCGGUGAGA